rnacentral:lncRNA from 1 species
CGACACGGGCCAGAGAAGGAGCAGGUCUGGAGGUGAGUAGCACAGAGCCUCGGCUCUCAAACCUCUCUGUCGAGAGACCUCUUUACACCCUUAAAAAUUAUUGAGGACCCAAAGGUGGUAGCCUAUAUCUAUCAAUAUUCACCUCAUUCGAAAUGAAGACAGAGACAUUUUAAAGAUACAAGAACACACAAGCACACAUUCUCUUAUUUGUUGGAGUGACGAUGUGACCAUUCUUCCAGCAGCUGGGGAGACGCCAGGCUACCCCCGAGUGUAUUGAAUGAAGAUGGCAAGUGACAUUUUAGUGUGACUUAGCAGGAGUUUUGACCUUGAAGACCCUCUGAAAGGGCCAUGCCUAGGCUCCCCAGACCACAUCUGGGGAGCCGUUGCCAUGGUGGCCCGGAACCUGCGCUUGAGAGCAAGACUGCCUAAGUUUAAAACUUGCUCUACUGUGGCUGCUCCUGCAGGCCUCUUAUUUGGUGCCUCCACAUCUUCAGCUGAAAAUGAGGUUCAUUCUUGUUAAUCCAUAUUAAAGA